GAUGAAGAACGUAGCAAAAUGCGAUAAGUAAUGUGAAUUGCAGAAUUCAGUGAAUCAUCGAAUCUUUGAACGCACAUUGCGCCCCUUGGUAUUCCGGGGGGCAUGCCUCUUCCAGCGUCAUUUCACCCCUCAAGCUCUGCUUGGUUUUGGGCCGCGCCGGCAACGGCGGGCCUCGAAAAUAGUGGCGACGCCAUCGUGCUCUCAGCGUAGUAAUUCUUCUCGCUGUUGGGUCCCGGUGGUCGUCCGCCAGCAACCCCCAACUUUCUUAAGUUUGACCUGGGAUGAGGUAGGGAUACCCGCUGAACUUAAGCAUAUCAAUAAGCGGAGGA
rnacentral:misc_RNA from 1 species